CUGUUACUGAUGAGACCGAAGCAGGUCGAAACAGUUGUCCAGUAG
rnacentral:hammerhead_ribozyme from 1 species